rnacentral:rRNA from 1 species
UACGGGGGAUGCAAGCGUUAUCCGGAUUUAUUGGGUUUAAAGGGUGCGUAGGCUGUGAGGUAAGUCAGCGGUGAAAUGCCCCCGCUCAACGGGGUGAAGUGCCAUUGAUACUGCCUUGCUGGAAUGCGGAUGCCGUGGGAGGAAUGUGUGGUGUAGCGGUGAAAUGCAUAGAUAUCACACAGAACACCGAUUGCGAAGGCAUCUCACGAACCCGCGAUUGACGCUGAUGCACGAAAGCGUGGGUAUCAAACAGG